rnacentral:rRNA from 1 species
UACGUAGGGCGCAAGCGUUGUCCGGAAUUAUUGGGCGUAAAGAGCUCGUAGGCGGCCUGUUGCGUCCGCUGUGAAAUCCCGGGGCUCAACCCCGGGCGUGCAGUGGAUACGGGCUGGCUGGAGGCAGGCAGGGGAGAACGGAAUUCCUGGUGUAGCGGUGAAAUGCGCAGAUAUCAGGAGGAACACCGGUGGCGAAGGCGGUUCUCUGGGCCUGUACUGACGCUGAGGAGCGAAAGCGUGGGGAGCGAUCCGG